rnacentral:rRNA from 1 species
UCACUACGGAGAAAAUUGGGCCCGUUCUCGCAUGCUGGAGGCCGCCAUGGCCGCGGGAUUGGCACGUGGGGACGGGGUGUACCCCGCGCGAAACCUCCGCAAUGUGAGAAAUCGCGACGGGGGGAUCCCAAGUGCCAUUCUUAACGGGAUGGCUUUUCAUUAGUGUAAAGAGCUUUUGGAAUAAGAGCUGGGCAAGACCGGUGCCAGCCGCCGCGUUAACACCGGCAGCUCUAGUGGUAGCAGUUUUUAUUGGGCCUAAAGCGUCCGUAGCCGGUUUAAUAAGUCUCUGGUGAAAUCCUGCAGCUUAACUGUGGGAAUUGCUGGAGAUACUAUUAGACUUGAGAUCGGGAGAGGUUAGAGGUACUCCCAGGGUAGAGGUGAAAUUCUGUAAUCCUGGGAGGACCGCCUGUUGCGAAGGCGUCUGACUGGAACGAUUCUGACGGUGAGGGACGAAAGCUAGGGGCGCGAACCGGAUUAGAUACCCGGGUAGUCCUAGCUGUAAACGAUGCGGACUUGGUGUUGGGGUGGCUUUGAGCUGUCCCAGUGCCGAAGGGAAGCUGUUUAGUCCGCCCCCUGGGGAAGUACGGUCGCCAAGACUGAAACUUAAAGGAAAUUGGCGGGGGAGCACCACAAACGCGGGGAGCUUGCGGGUUUAAUUGGAUUCAACGCCGGACAUCUCACCAGAGGCGACAGCUGUAUGGAUAGCCAGGUUGAUGACUCUGCUUGACUAGCUGAGAGGAGGUGCAUGGCCGCCGUCAGUUCGUACCGUGAGGCGUCCUGUUAAGUCAGGCAACGAGCGAGACCCACGCUCUUAGUUACCAGCGGAUCCUUUUUUGGAUGCCGGGCACACUAAGGGGACCGCCUAUGAUAAAUAGGAGGAAGGAGUGGACGACGGUAGGUCCGUAUGCCCCGAAUCCUCUGGGCAACACGCGGGCUACAAUGGCUGAGACAAUGGGUUCCGACGCCGAAAGGCGGAGGUAAUCCUCUAAACUUAGUCGUAGUUCGGAUUGAGGACUGUAACUCGUUCUCAUGAAGCUGGAAUGCGUAGUAAUCGCGUGUCACAAUCGCGCGGUGAAUACGUCCCUGCUCCUGGCACGAAUUAAUCACNUAGU